CCCCAUAAAGGGCUCUGAGGCCCCUGAUCUGAGCUGAGCCACAUCAAUCCUUCCUAAGGAGCUGCUCCAGCACUAAAAAUACUAUAAAAAGAAAUUUGGUGAAGAGGGAUGGACAGUGAAAGGGAGUAUUAAAUAUAUUGUAUUAAGAAAAUAAAGUGGAAUAAGGACGGGGCUGGUGGCAUGGCCCAGCAGAGCAGGGAAAAUAAAAAUCCCCCAUAAAUAAAAGGCUCCAAGGCCCUUCCCUCCCUCUGCCCUCUCCAAGAUAACCCCAUGGCCGUGCCCUUGGAGCCUGCAGAGGCUGAAGAGCAAACAGAGCUGGAAAGGGUCUCAAAUUCCAGCCUCCCACUCCUUCCUCCUCCUCCUCCUCAUCCUCAGAGAGCUCCUGAGCUGCUCUCGCAGGCCCCAAAUCAAGCCAAGGCCUCUGGAGGAAAAAAAAACCAGCUAAAAAUAUCUCCCACCCCCUCACCCUGCCGGGUCCAGAGCCCUGGAGGGUUUUCCUUGGCCUCCGGCCACGUUUGUCAGCCAUAAAUGGGAUUUUAUUUCCAUUUUUCUGGCAAGGCCGCGCUGUGCUCCAAGCGCUGUGCUCAGGAAUUCCAGCUCCGAGCUCCUCAAAUUCCCGCUUUUUGAGGAUUUUUUAGCCCCACUGUGAGAGUUCUUAUUACUCCGGUCCUAAACCUCCACAAAAGCCAGGAUGAAAUCCAGGACAUUGAUGGAUGAACCUGGAGAUCUCGAUUUGUGGCUGAACAAAGAGGAACAACAACUCAGCUUGCUGGCCUGCAACCACUUUUCUUCUCCAAAUGUUGCCGGGAGACUCCUGGAAAAUCCCUCCACGGCUGGGAAGAAGAGCAGCCGACAUUGACACCUGCUGUCGGGAAUUUGAACAGCCACGCACUCAGGAUGCCCUGGGAGCCAAGAGCAAGAAAACAGCCCAAAACCAAAAAGUUACAACAGAGAGGAUUGCUUUCAGAAAGCUUUAUUUAAUCAUCAUUAUUGCACACAAUUCAAUCCGAGGGAUGGAGUGGCUGGAAAAGGGUUGGGAUCACUGGGGCCAGUUGCAGCAGGAGCAGACGGGGUCGAAGACCAGCCCCUGCUCGCAGCUCUGCACG